rnacentral:rRNA from 1 species
ACUCCUGCGGGAGGCAGCAGUGGGGAAUAUUGGACAAUGGGCGCAAGCCUGAUCCAGCCAUGCCGCGUGAGUGAUGAAGGCCCUAGGGUUGUAAAGCUCUUUCACCGGUGAAGAUAAUGACGGUAACCGGAGAAGAAGCCCCGGCUAACUUCGUGCCAGCAGCCGCGGUAAUACGAAGGGGGCUAGCGUUGUUCGGAUUUACUGGGCGUAAAGCGCACGUAGGCGGACUAUUAAGUCAGGGGUGAAAUCCCGGGGCUCAACCCCGGAACUGCCUUUGAUACUGGUAGUCUUGAGUUCGAGAGAGGUGAGUGGAAUUCCGAGUGUAGAGGUGAAAUUCGUAGAUAUUCGGAGGAACACCAGUGGCGAAGGCGGCUCACUGGCUCGAUACUGACGCUGAGGUGCGAAAGCGUGGGGAGCAAACAGGAUUAGAUACCCGGGUAGUCCCAUG